GACGAACGCUUGCGGCGUGCUUAACACAUGCAAGUCGAACGGAGUGGCGAACGGGUGCGUAACACGUGGGUGGUCUGCCUUGCACUUCGGGAUAAGCUUGGGAAACUGGGUCUAAUACCGGAUAUUGCAAGAUCAGCUCGCGGCCUAUCAGCUUGUUGGUGGGGUAAUGGCCUACCAAGGCGUCGACGGGUAGCCGGCCUGAGAGGGUGUACGGCCACAAGGGGACUGGGGUACGGACCAGACGCCUACGGGAGGCAGCGGGGGGGAGUAUUGCACAAUGGGGGGAAGGGUGAUGAAGCGACGCCGCGUGGGGGAUGAAGGCCUUCGGGUUGUAAACGCCUUUCGACAGGGACGCGGUACCUGUAGAAGAAGCACCGGCUAACUACGUGCCAGCAGCCGCGGUAAUAC
rnacentral:rRNA from 1 species